rnacentral:rRNA from 1 species
AUUGAACGCUGGCGGCAUGCCUUACACAUGCAAGUCGAACGGCAGCGCGGGAGCAAUCCUGGCGGCGAGUGGCGAACGGGUGAGUAAUAUAUCGGAACGUGCCCAGUAGUGGGGGAUAGCCCGGCGAAAGCCGGAUUAAUACCGCAUACGACCUACGGGUGAAAGGGGGGGAUCGCAAGACCUCUCGCUAUUGGAGCGGCCGAUAUCAGAUUAGGUAGUUGGUGGGGUAAAGGCCUACCAAGCCUGCGAUCUGUAGUUGGUCUGAGAGGACGACCAGCCACACUGGGACUGAGACACGGCCCAGACUCCUACGGGAGGCAGCAGUGGGGAAUUUUGGACAAUGGGCGCAAGCCUGAUCCAGCAAUGCCGCGUGCAGGUAGAAGGCCUUCGGGUUGUAAACUGCUUUUGUCAGGGAAGAAAUCCUCUGGGUUAAUACCUCGGGGGAAUGACGGUACCUGAAGAAUAAGCACCGGCUAACUACGUGCCAGCAGCCGCCGUAAGAC